rnacentral:rRNA from 1 species
CAAUAGCGUAUAUUAACGUUGUUGCAGUUAAAAAGCUCGUAGUUGGAUUUCUGGAGGGAGCGUCGGCCCGUAUUUACGAGUGCGUGACGUCUCUGUCCAUCCUUGCGGGAAGGCACGGCAUUGAUUUGUUGUGUCGGAUCGCAUCAUUUACUGUGAAAAAAUUAGAGUGUUCAAAGCAGGCUUUCGCUUGAAUACAUUAGCAUGGAAUAAUAAGAUAGGACUUUGGUGCUAUUUUGUUGGUUGAGCCUAAAGUAAUGAUUAAUAGGGAUAGUUGGGGGCACCUGUAUUGCGUUGUCAGAGGUGAGAUUCUUGGAUUUACGCAAGACAAACAGCUGCGAANGNGUCUGGNAAGGAUGUUUNCAUUA